CGUGAGAUGUUGGGUUAAGUCCCGUAACGAGCGCAACCCUUGUCCUUAGUUACCAGCACGUUAUGGUGGGCACUCUAAGGAGACUGCCGGUGACAAACCGGAGGAAGGUGGGGAUGACGUCAAGUCAUCAUGGCCCUUACGGCCUGGGCUACACACGUGCUACAAUGGUCGGUACAGAGGGUUGCCAAGCCGCGAGGUGGAGCUAAUCUCACAAAACCGAUCGUAGUCCGGAUCGCAGUCUGCAACUCGACUGCGUGAAGUCGGAAUCGCUAGUAAUCGCG
rnacentral:rRNA from 1 species